ensembl:lncRNA novel transcript
GGCGACGUCAGAGGCGCGGGUGUUCGGCUGCGUCACUGGGGCGCUAUGGUGCCUGGAGCUGGGCAGUUUUCUCGUCAGAGUGGGGACUGGUAAGAGCGACCUCCCCGCCAGGUCCUGUGUGUUGCCGGCUGAAGAAGGGUAGCUGAAAAAUUCAGACCCAGCACAGUGUUUAUGUUGGUCAAAAAUAGAAAACUAUGUCUGGCGCGGCCGAGGCGGGAGGACCCUUCAGGCCAAGAGCAGCGUAGCAACAUGGCGCAACCCCAUCUCUGUAGUCCUACCUCAGCCCCCCAGCUACUUGAACCCAAAGGUUCAAGGCUCCAGUGAGCUAUGAUCCCACCACAGCAUUCCAGCCUGCGAGAUUGAGAUGAUGAUUAUUCCCCACCUUCUAAGAGACAAAGACCAACGAGCCACCACAGCCACCAGUCCCAGAACCCGCCAAUGCUGGGGAACGGAAAAUGAGGGAGUUCAACUCUGAGAAAUGGAAUCAUCGUAUCGCUGAUCUACGUAAACAAACUGAAGAAUUGUCUGAAAGAAAAUAUGACAUGAACUUAUGAAUUCAACAGGUGAAGAUUUACAACUUGAUAAAUCAACUUUGUGAGCUCGAGCUGUAAAAGCCAAAGGUCUGGUGAUGAUCCCAUACCCUUUUUUCCAGUCUCAUGUUGAAGAUUUUUAUGUAGAAGGCCUUCCCAAAGGAAUUUUUUUUUUUUUUUUUUUUUGAGAUGGAGUUUUCACUCUUAUCGCCCAGGCUGGGGUGCAAUGGCGCAACCUUGCUGGUCACUGCAACCUCUGCCUCCUGGGUUCAAGAAAUUCUCCUGCCUUAGCCUCCCAAGUCGCUGGGAUUAUAGGUGCCCACCACCACACCAGGCUAAUUUUUGUAUUUUUAGUGGAGAUGGGGUUUCACCAUGUUGGCCGGGCCAGUCUCGAACUCCUGAUGUCAAGUGAUCUUCCCGCCUCGACUCCUGACAUCAAGUGAUCUUCCCGCCUCGGCCUCCCAGAGUGCUGAGAUUACAGACGUGAACCCAUGCCUGGCCAGGAAUUUUGUUUUUUAGGAAGGCUUUCUACUAAUGGAAUUCCUGGCCUUGAGAGGAUGUUACUUUCGAAGGAAAGGAUUUUUUUGUUAUUAAAAGAGCCACCUAAGCUGAAGAUUCCCUUGAGAACAAGUACUGUCCUGCGGUUUCAUGGCCUUUCUUCCAUUUGUGGUUCUUGUGAAGUGGAAUUUAAAUGACAUCUUAUCAAGAUGGAUAAACCCUAGUUUCCCAGUGCUGGAAUAUAGAAAAUGGAUGGACAAGUAAAUCCCACUCAGCACCCAUAGUCCAGGCAUGGGGACCUCAACACACCUGAGCACCAGACAUCACCUUUCAUUCUGGACCUACCAUGAAAGACUUCUGAAUCCAGGAAGAGAAACUGACUGGGCAACAUGUUAUUCAGGAAGUGAGCUCACAAUGACUCAAGCUGCCACAUAGUGUUGAUUGUGAAAUGCCAGUUGAAGCAUAUGUCCUGCGAGCUUGGGGGUGCUACAAGUUGACCACUGCAGCAGUAAAGAUGACUCUGAAGAAUGGCGUGGGAUGGAUCCUUUCAAAUGCACUUGAGCAGCAGUCUCCAACCACAGGGCCACAGAGCUGGAGCUGGAUCUACCAUGAAAGACUUCUGAAUCCAGGAAGAGAGACUGACUGGGCAACAUGUUAUUCAGGUACAAAAAGAUUUGGACUGUAACUUAAAAAUGAUCAAAUAAUAGUGCAUGCAUCAAGUGCAAUGGGAAGCUCCACUGGAGAGUGAGAGAAGCUUCCAGUUAAGGAGAUGGGGUAUCACCCUGUCACCCAGGCUUGAGUACAGUAGUGCUAUCACAGCUCACUGCAGCCUUGAACUCCUGGGCUAAGGAUCCUCCUACCUGAGCCUCCUGAGUAGCUAGGACUGGUCUCCCUCUGUUGUCCAAGGCUGGAGUGUAGUAGUGCUAUCACAGCUGACUGCAGCCUCAACCUUCUAGGCUGAAGCGAUCCUCCCAUCUCAACCUCCCACGUGGCUGAGACUACAGGUGCUUGCCACUAUGCCCAACUAAUAUUUGGAAUUUUCGUAUACGUGGAUUCCAGAGGGGUGACAGCGAAAUGUGGGACCAUCCAGUUGCAGGAAAACAAGCUUAACACGCCCACUGAUUCUACAUUAUGCUCCUACCUCCCGGCAGCCUCUCCAGGCCCAGAACUUUCUCCAGUCAGCCUCUACAGACCAAGCUCAUGACUCACAAUGGCCUAUUUAGGCCCAUACCCUACCUCACGGCAGUCUCCGCAGAUGAGCCUACUGCCUCACAACAGCCUCCACAGGCACAGCUCCAUCGUUACAAUGGCCUCUUUAGACCCAGCUCCUGCCUCCCAGCCUUCUCUCCAGGCCCUGAACUUUCUCAAGUCGACCUCACCAGGCCCAGCUCAUGCUUCUUUGCAGCCUCUCCAGGCCCAACUCCUGCAUCUUGGUGGCCCCUCCAGGCCCAGCCUGUGCCUCCCGUCGGCCUCUACAAUCCCAACAUCUGCCUCACAGCAGAUUCUUCACGCCCAGCCUCUGCCUCACAGUGGACCCUCCAGACCCAGAUGGUGUCUCACUGUGGCAUCCUCAGGCGAAGCUCCUGCCUUUCAGCAGCCUCUCCAGGCCCAGCUCCUCCUGCCUCCCAGUGGCCUCUUUCGGCCCAGCCCAGCUCAUGCCUCCCGGCGGCCUUCCCAAGCCCCGCUUUUGACUUUUGGUGGCCUCUGCAGGCCUCGACAAGGCCCAGCCUCCUGCCUCCCGAAGGCCUGCACAGGCCCAGCCUCUGCCUCACAGCGGACUCUCCACGCCCAGCUAGCUCUCGCCUCACUGCGGCCUCCCCAGUCCAAAGCUCCUGCCUUUCGGCCACUUCGGCAGGUCCAGCUACUGCCUGCCAGUGGCCUCUUUAGGCCCAGCUCAUUCCUCACAACGGCCUUUCCAGGCCCCGUUUUUCCCUUCCGGCAGCCUCU